rnacentral:rRNA from 1 species
GAUAAACGCUGGCGGCGCACAUAAGACAUGCAAGUCGAACGGAGCUUGCUUGUCAGAUCCUUUCGGGGUGACGACUUGUAAGCUUAGUGGCGAACGGGUGAGUAACACGUGAGUAACCUGCCCCAGAGUGGGGGACAACAGUUGGAAACGACUGCUAAUACCGCAUAAGCCCACGGAACCGCAUGGUUCAGAGGGAAAAGGAGCAAUUCGCUUUGGGAUGGACUCGCGUCCGAUUAGCUAGAUGGUGAGGUAACGGCCCACCAUGGCGACGAUCGGUAGCCGGACUGAGAGGUUGAUCGGCCACAUUGGGACUGAGACACGGCCCAG